rnacentral:ncRNA from 2 species
GGUCACGAUUGUCAGCGCCCACGGCGCGGGUUCGCCCGCUCCUGUGGUCAUCGGCCCCGGCUCGCUGACAGGCAACCCUUCCACCGCGACGGGGUGCCCCGGGUGACGACCGGGUCCCGCCGGUGCGGUGGGGCAAGCGUGGUCU